ensembl:lncRNA
GCCCCUACUACUACUAUACUACUACUACUACCGCCUGGCCCCUACUACUACCAUACUACUACUACUACUACUACCGCCUGGCCCCUACUACUACUACUACUACCGCCUGGCCCCUACUACUACUACCGCUACUGGCCCCUACUACUACUACCGCCUGGCCCCUACUACUACUACCGCCUGGCCCCUACUACUACCUACUACCGCCUGGCCCCUACUACUACCAUACUACUACUACUACCACCACCAUACUACUACUACCGCCUGGCCCCUACUACCAUACUACUAACACCGCCUGGCCCCUACUACCAUACUACUACCACACCCCGUUCAAGGGCACAUAAAUCAUUUUUUGGGGCCUUUCAGCCUCAAUGGUACACAGACACAAUCCAUGUCUCAAGGCUUCUUAAACCUGUCUCCUUAAUUUACAAUGAUUUUAAAGUGGAUUUAACAAAUUACAUCAAUAAGGGUUCAUAGCCUUCACCUGGGUUCAUCUGGCCAGUCUGUCUUUUGUAAGUGUAAUGCAGUUGAUUGGUAACAAUGAUAUGAACAUGUAUUGGGGUUGACAUCCAUACCAGCAUUAUACUCCGAUUUUUACCCCAACAUAGUUUGAAAUACACAUGUAAACACAUACAUUUUGAUGGCCGGCAAUGAGGAGAUUCUGGAUUUAUACCCCACGGAGGGACUAAAGGAACAAGCCUUUGGGGCUCUGGUCAGGACUGGUGCACUAUGUGAGGAAUAGGGGGCCAUUUGAGAUAUGACCAGUGUGUACAUACUGAACUAACUGUUGAAUAGCAUAAGAGUAUAAUUGAGAAUUAUAAUAUUAAAGAAACCUAAUUUAGUGUCAAGUUUGGAUGGUGUGUGUGUGUGUACGUUUUUGCGUGUGGUGUGUGUGUGUGCAUGAGUCCAAUGUUUCCCCCAAUUUUAUUUUGUUUUUUUCAGAAGUGGAAAAGGUUGUGGGGGUUGGGGCAGACAUAGGGGACAUGCGCCGUGCCGCCCCCACCCCCCGGACAGUUUUUAUAGAAGGAUUGUGAGAAUGUCAUUUCUUUUUAAAAGGACGUUCUACUCUAAAAUGAAUGAAAAUCUAAUUAUCCCAACACCAUCUGUCUAUGAUCUCCCCCCAUAAAUGAGCCCAAUAACAUAUUGCAAAAAAAAAUGUUUAGGGCUGACUCUUACCAUAGCCUAUACAUGGCACCAUACCAUAUUAUCAGGCAAGUGUGAUAUUACCAAUAAGCACUUUUUCUGGAUUAAAACAGGGCUACUUUCCUGCAAUUAUAUUAAUUUUUCCAUGGAGCUGACAUAAAAUGUGGCAAUGUGAAAGCUAAUUUCCUGCAAUUCUAUACAUUUUGCAACUGACAAAGAAAGAAUUUGGGAAAUUGAGGGGGUUGCUGGGAAGUUUGGGACUAUGUAUGUUUUCAACAUUAAAAAUUAUUUAAAUAUGCUGUAUUUCAGUGUUUAACAAAAAAA